rnacentral:rRNA from 1 species
GAUGAACGCUGGCGGCGUGCCUAAUACAUGCAAGUCGAGCGAACAGAUGAGGAGCUUGCUCCUCUGACGUUAGCGGCGGACGGGUGAGUAACACGUGGAUAACCUACCUAUAAGACUGGGAUAACUUCGGGAAACCGGAGCUAAUACCGGAUAAUAUAUUGAACCGCAUGGUUCAAUAGUGAAAGACGGUUUUGCUGUCACUUAUAGAUGGAUCCGCGCCGCAUUAGCUAGUUGGUAAGGUAGCGGCUUACCAAGGCAACGAUGCGUAGCCGACCUGAGAGGGUGAUCGGCCACACUGGAACCGAGACACGGUCCAGACUCCUACGGGAGGCAGCAGUAGGGAAUCUUCCGCAAUGGGCGAAAGCCUGACGGAGCAACGCCGCGUGAGUGAUGAAGGUCUUCGGAUCGUAAAACGCUGUUAUUAGGGAAGAACAAAUGUGUAAGUAACUAUGCACGUCUUGACGGUACCUAAUCAGAAAGCCACAGCUAACUACGU